UACGUAGGGGGCAAGCGUUGUCCGGAAUCAUUGGGCGUAAGGCGCGUGUAGGCGGCUCGAUAAGUCUGCUGUGAAAGUCCAGGGCUCAACCUUGGGAUGCCGGUGGAUACUGUCGAGCUCGAGUCCGGAAGAGGAGUGUGGAAUUCCUGGUGUAGCGGUGAAAUGCGCAGAUAUCAGGAGGAACACCAAUGGCGAAGGCAGCACUCUGGGACGUGACUGACGCUGAGACGCGAAAGCGUGGGGAGCAAACAGG
rnacentral:rRNA from 1 species